AGCAUGCCUGUCGGGACC
rnacentral:snRNA from 1 species